rnacentral:rRNA from 1 species
GUAGGUGGCAAGCGUUGUCCGGAAUUAUUGGGCGUAAAGCGCGCGCAGGUGGGUUCUUUAAGUCUGAUGUGAAAGCCCCCGGGCUCAACCGGGGAGGGUCAUUGGAAACUGGGGAACUUGAGUGCAGGAGAGGAAAGUGGAAUUCCACGUGUAGCGGUGAAAUGCGUAGAUAUGUGGAGGGACACCAGUGGCGAAGGCGACUUUCUGGCCUGUAACUGACACUGAGGCGCGAAAGCGUGGGGAGCAAACAGGAUUAGAUACCCUGGUAGUCCACGCCGUAAACGAUGAGUGCUAAGUGUUGGGGGGUUUCCGCCCCUCAGUGCUGCAGCUAACGCAUUAAGCACUCCGCCUGGGGAGUACGGUCGCAAGACUG